UUGUUAGUAGGUAUUUUUCUUUCUUUGCCUAAAAUGUACUAAUGCUAGAUUAGCUAACAAUAGGAAAUAAACGGGAGAAACUCUCAGGGAAUUAUUGUAGGUGUUCUUUGUCUGAGAAUCUUGCCUGAGCAGAGGUAUCUCCAACAAUUUGGAAGUAAAUAGUUUCUUGAGAGAUAAUAAGAUAGCCUGCCUACACCCUUAAGAUCAAUCAUGCCUCGAGAAAUUAUUUAUUGCAACGUCCAGGUGGAGCCUCUCAGUUUCACCUGCAUCCUUGCAUUCAGAUUCUAGGCCAGGCUGUUCAAGUAAGAAAAGGAAUAGCCAGGAGCCAGAAAGUAUAACUCUCUCUGACACUUCCUCAUCUCUAAAAGAUCAAACCUAAAACGGCUGCUGUGGAGUCCUUGCCUUUCCUGAGCAGCUACUCUCCCCUGUUCUCUUCAAUACCUCUCCGACCAUCUUAUAAUGACUCAUUAGAUGGGACUCUGCUAAUUCCAAGAUCAUCAAAGUUACAUUUCAAAGCUCCUUUGACUUGUUGAUGGGUCCCAGGGAUUAGAGCAUGAAGCACUUAGAGUUUUCCUCAGUCCAUUAAAAACGUUUCUCGGUCAGCUAGCACCAUGCUAUAGUAUCAGGCAAAUGUAUUCUUUGUCCCUUAGAGCUUUCUCCUCUACUGUAAAUUCUAUAUCGGCCAUGAUGGCCUAGGGAGAAAAAUCCUGCAAAGCUGUCAAAAUAUCACCUUGGGACAACCACUACCCCAUGCCUCUUGCACUAAUAAAGGUUAAUCUGGAGUUAGUCAGUGCUUUCAUAGGAGUCAUCUAACUAACUGCUUCUAUCCAGGUGUGUCAGGCUGACACAUUUUUCUUUAUCAAUGAGACAAAAGAAGAAAAUCACUAACCACCUGCAUUUACUAUAGUAUAUUGAGAACUGAAAACAUGUAAAUUAACCCUCAGAAGAAACUCUCUCAUUUCAUGAUCCAUCAAAAUGGUAGCUCUCCAGAGCUAAAGGUCACUCGUCAGUCUAGUUUUGUUAUAAAGACUUGUCUCUCAUUAAGGAGAGUUACUUUCUUCACUUCAACAUUAUGCUUUCCUGUUUUCACGUAGGACAGAAUGGGAUGCUAGCACAUUCUAUCUAACUUCCAGGGUUAGUGGAGAGUGAUUCGCCAGUGCCCACAGUGCCUCCUGGGGGUGAAUUCACCUUCCUCCUGAAUUUAAUAGGGUGUUUCCAGGCCUUCCUUGGCUUCUUUACAUCCACAGCUCCUGCUCUCUGAUUGCAUUCAGACAAGCUCUGUCUAGCUGUUCCUAGAGCUGUCCACCAUCAGUGUGCCCCAGUGGAUAGCCCCACACCCUUGCCCAUUUAGACAGCAUUAGUUGGACUUAGCAAGGGAGGGAGACAUGAAGUUGGAGUCGGGAAUUGAAAGUGGGUAUAAUCAAAAUACAUUGUAUAUGCGUGUGAAAUUUUCAAAUAAAGUAAAACAUUAGUAAAGAACGAAGAGUCCAUGACUCUUGUCAGUAUGCACUUCUUGGAGAAAGUAUGGCGGAGGGUUUCCUAAGUGACUACAAGUGUUGCUUGGGAUUCCAUACAUUUUUCCAAACUUCAUUAGUCUACUUUCCAUUGCUGUGACAAAAUGCCUACAGCUGGAUAACAUAUGAAGCAACUAGUUGUAUUUAGCUCAUAAUUUUGAAGAUUCAAAACCAUCAUGUUACCAUAGGCUCAGUCCUGACAAGGGCCUCACUGGCUGAAUCAUAUGGCACAUUCCAUCCUGGUAAGAGGGCAGGUGGGAGAGAUAUCAGAGUGAGAAGUGAGGUGGGAGACAACGGAGUGAGAAGAAACCAGUCUUAAUCAUUCAUAGCCUUGAAAGUACUCCCUUGAGGAGUCCCGAAGUUUCCGUAGGACAGUGCUAAUCCUUCUGAUAGCAACAUCCCCAGCAACCUAAUAACCUUGAAUUAAGUCCACCACUUAAGCACAUCAGGUACCUCUCAAUAUCACCACACAGAGUACCACACUAUCACAUGAACCCAGGAAGACACUCAAACCACAGCAUACCCUCAGAUGUUCUCUUCCCAACCGUGUGACAUCUGAAUAUAGAAGUAAAGAAAAAUAUCACAUCAAUUUCUCCAAAUGAUGUCCACACACAAGCUUGCUGCAGGUCAACUAUCAGUGAACCCAAUCCUUAAGGAAUUGUUGUGUUGAGGGUAAAAGAGAAUUGAAAAUCCAGGAAAAAAAAAAUCAAAUGACCAGACUAACAAGCCUGGUCCUGAUUUUCCUACACACUGGGCACCAUUUAAAAUAGAGGACAAUUCCACUACCAAGAAAUUUACUAACAGAGUGGUACUUGGAUGUUUAAUUAAAACUCCAAGUCAUCACAUAAAUCAAACAUUAAGUGAUAAAUCUGUGUAUUGAUGCUACAACUUUCUGAGUAACAUAAAUAUAUAUAAACCCACUCUCCCUAGCUACAACCAGUCAUCGAUUCCUCCUUUCCCUGGCAGACAGGUAGGACCUGGACAUUCCUGCACUCUGCUUCCUGGGAAUUCAGAGCAAAUAAGAUCUUCAGUCUCCUCCCAUGAAUGUCUUAGCUUUGUUUUCAUUGGAUAGCUGACUCACCCUUUCUGUAUAGUACCCACUAGUACAGAAAACAUUAACCUUCUCUCCCCUGCCCCUCUUUCUCUCUUUUUCUCUUUCCCUCUCCCCUUCUCUCCCAUUCUGACAGUUUCAUGCAUGUAUAUAAUGAACACUAGUCAUCCUACCACCUCAUUACCUCUUGCCUCUAACCCUAGCAACUGGCUGUGUCAUAACAAGAAGACAUCUUUUGCUGCACACUCCUCUGGUGUUCUCAUCAUCAUCAUCCUCUUCCUCCUCUCCCUCCUCCUCCUUCUCUUUUUAACAAGGUCACACAUCCUAGGUUGACCUCCAGCUUCCUAUGUACUGAACAUAGACUUGAACUCCUCAUCUCCUUAGUUCUGGAAUGACCAAUGUGGACCACCAUGCCCAGUUUAUCCAGAUCUUCCAAUGAGAUCCAGGGCUUCACAUACUAUAUGCGUACUAAGCAAGCAUUCUAUCAGUCAUCGGCCCCUAAAACCAAACUUUUGAGGAGCACCAACUACACCACAGAUUUUCCUAACUACAACGCUGAAAAGGAAAAGAAAGGAAAAGGGAAGGAAAAGGGAAGGAAAGGGAAGGAAAAGGAAAGGAAAGGGAAAGGAAAAGGAAAAGGAAAGAAAAAGAGGAAAGGAAAAAAGGAAAGGAAAGGAAAGGAAAGGAAAGGAAAGGAAAGGAAAGGAAAGGAAAGGAAAGGAAAGGAAAGGAAAGGAAAGGAAAGGAAAGGAAAGGAAAGGAAAGGAAAGGAAAGGAAAGGAAAGUCAUUAUAUAACUUACUAGGUAGCAAUAGGCAACCACAAGUCACCUGCUGAGUCCUACUUUCUUGCUUACCGUGAUUCUUUACCAUGGGGGUGGGGUCUCAACACCUAUAUUUCCUUCAUUGCGUAGGUCACUUUCUCAUAAAUCCUUUCAAACAGCCACUGUUUUUUUUGUCCCCCACUAUCUCACCAAACAAAUACUUCUAUGGUUCAGCUGUGACUUUCUGUCUUGACUAAUGACUUUUUUUGAUCCACUCUUUCUUUUUCCUAUCUAAUCUCCCACAUUAAUGACGAUGAAUGUAGAAGGCUGUUACUAUAACAUUGCAUUAUAAACAAUGCUAGGCAGAGAAUCCACCCUGAGAAACUGAAGGGUAUCACUGCUGCAGAUGCUGCUGAUUAAACAGAAAGGAAAGCUCUCUGAAAGCUGUUUACUUUUCCACCUGAGCAACAAAUAGAGCAUCUCAAGACUCAGUCAUGUUUAGUCUGAUUUGUAGCUGCUCUUAAAAGAUAACAUAUAACAGGAUUCUUCAGGGACUGCAAGAAUGGCUCCAUUGGCUACGAAAAAGCCACAUGAACAGGUAGGCCUGAGUUUGCAUUCCCAGCACUCAUGUAAAAGCCAGACAUAGACACCUGAACAUGCCUGUAAAUGUGUAGUGCUAUAUAUGGAUUUCUAGAGCAUAUUUAUCCAGCCAGCCUAUCCAAAUUGAUGAACUCUCUCUCUCUCUCUCUCUCUCUCUCUCUCUCUCUCUCUCUCUCUCUCUCUCUCACACACACACACACACACACACACACACACACAGAAGAGCCACAUACACAUACACACAUAGAUAUUAAAAAUUUAUUAACUAAUUAUAAUUUCCACUGCCUUUGUCUAUCCAUUUAAGUAUUUCUGGUUAGAAGACUUUACCUGGAGUUAUAAUAUUUAAGUUGUUUUAUUCUUCUAUUUAUUUGUGUCUGCUAUGUGUGUACAAGUGUCCGUAGAGGCCAGAAUAGGACAUUUGACACCUCCACACCCGUCCUCCCCCCCCCCCAGCAAGGGUUACAGGAUGUUAUGAACCUCCUAAAAUGUUGAGUACUAAAUUUAGGUCUUCUGGAAGAACAACAAGCACUCGUAACCACUAAGCUAUCUCUCCAGCAACAUAAAGUUAAUUUUAAAGAUAAAAAUCAAGCUGUUCCUGUUCACUAUUAUAUAACUUCUAGGAACCAUGCAGUUGAUAACCUCUAGUACCUGUCAUUAACUCUAACACAAAGAGAGGGCCCUCGAUAUAGGAUUCUCGAAUGGAUGGAUGAGUGAUGAACAUGUGUCGUGGGAAGGAAGUAGUCAAACCUGUUUCCAUGUGUUGCCCUUGAAAGCUCACCCAUGACUUCAAACUCAGAGUAGAUAUGCUGCGUCUUGAAUGGGCGCCCGACAGAGAUGACUGGACAUAGAUCAGGACAAAAUCCAGCGGUGAUGACACACCUCCAUGUUGUUUGGCUUCAUUUUUCUUCUGCCUGUCACAACUCCCGGUCUUCCUCUCAGAACACAUCCUGUCUUUCUUAUUGAAACUAUUAUUCAUAGUCAGAGUAUUCUUUCAUGAACUCGGGCUUUCUGCACAUGCUCAGUUGGCACCAGCUACAGCCCAUCCUCGAUUCCAGGUGUGGCCAGUCCACAUCCACAAACAAAGUCCCUGCUUCAAGGAAUUUCCUUUCCAAUGGAAUGCAUGGGCACCGUGCUACACAAUGAAGAUUCACCACAAACAGACGUGCGUGUGCCCUCAGAGGCCAUCAUGGCUGAGACGUGGAGAACAAGGGGCAGGGAGCCAAGCAAGGGCAAAGGCGCAGCAGCGGACUUUUUCUCUCGUUGUCAAAGAAGAUGGUGACGCUGAAGAAACCGAAAGGCCAUGUUAGAAACAGAACUGACUGAACUUGCCCAUUUUACGGUC
rnacentral:lncRNA from 1 species